GGCUGUGUGGCAGAGUGGUUAUGCUGCGGUCUGCAAAACCGUUUACGCCGGUUCGAUUCCGACCACAGCCUCCA
rnacentral:tRNA from 1 species